rfam:Sus scrofa isolate TJ Tabasco breed Duroc chromosome 9, whole genome shotgun sequence.
AAAAAGGUCCUUCAUAAGGACCACAAAUAAUAUUCUGCAAAGAGUAU